UACGUAGGGUGCAAGCGUUAAUCGGAAUUACUGGGCGUAAAGCGUGCGCAGGCGGUUGUGUAAGACAGAUGUGAAAUCCCCGGGCUCAACCUGGGAACUGCAUUUGUGACUGCACGGCUCGAGUGCGGCAGAGGGGGAUGGAAUUCCGCGUGUAGCAGUGAAAUGCGUAGAUAUGCGGAGGAACACCGAUGGCGAAGGCGGCAUCCUGGACCAACACUGACGCUGAGGAGCGAAAGCCAGGGGAGCAAACGGG
rnacentral:rRNA from 1 species